rnacentral:rRNA from 1 species
UACGUAUGGGGCAAGCGUUAUCCGGAAUUAUUGGGCGUAAAGAGUGCGUAGGUGGUUACCUAAGCGCAGGGUUUAAUCUUGAGGCUCAACCUCAUUCUGCCUUGCGAACUGGGCUACUUGAGUGCUGGAGGGGAAAGCGGAAUUCCCAGUGUAGCGGUGAAAUGCGUAGAUAUUGGGAAGAACACCGGUGGCGAAGGCGGCUUUCUGGACAGUAACUGACACUGAGGCACGAAAGCGUGGGGAGCAAACAGGAUUAGAUACGCGCGUAGUCCCU